rnacentral:lncRNA from 1 species
GGGAUGCAGUGGUGAACAGGACAGACCAAGUCUCUGGCCUCAUGGAGGAGACACCUCCCUCGCUGCGGGAGACAGAAAAAUGAAUCAGUGAAGAAACUCAGGCACAGAGAAGUUAAGUCACUUGUCCAAGAGCACCCAGCUCCCCUAGUCAACCUGGUUUCAGAAUUCUGCUCUAACCACUACACAGCCUGUCUCUCCUCUGGCGCCUGCUGCUCCCCCAAGAUGAACUGAGCGCAGCCAAGGUUGGGCUCUUCCUUGUUAGACAUCUGCAGCAGCGGUCAGCCACAGAGCACGUGGCCACCCAUCUGGGAGGGCCACCACCCUCCCCAAGGACCCUCCACCACGUCCGUGGAGCCACUGGAGGAACUUGUUUCCCAGGUGCCCAGGGAGCUUGCCAUAAAACCCAGGCUGUGAUGGUGGAGAUAGAAAAAUGGAGAGCUGGACAUUAUGUAAUGAACUUGAUCAUGAUGUAAGUGGCUGAUUUUUCUGCAUGACUUAAUUUUUUAAAAUUGCACAAGCA